AGGGCACCACCAGGAGUGGAGCCUGCGGCUUAAUUUGACUCAACACGGGGAAACUCACCCGGCCCGGACACCGGAAGGAUUGACAGAUUGAUAGCUCUUUCUUGAUUCGGUGGAUGGUGGUGCAUGGCCGUUCUUAGUUGGUGGAGCGAUCUGUCUGGUUAAUUCCGAUAACGAACGAGACUCUAGCCUAUUAAAUAGACGUCGGGUUCUCUGCACUCGACGGUCUUCUUAGAGGGACAAGGUGCUUUUAGCACCGCGAAACAGAGCAAUAACAGGUCUGUGAUGCCCUUAGAUGUCCGGGGCCGCACGCGCGCUACACUGAAGGAAGCAGCGUGUAACAACCUUGUUCUAACGAACUGGGUAACCCGUGGAACUUCCUUCAUGAUUGGGAUAGGGGUUUGCAAUUGUGCCCCUUGAACGAGGAAUUCCUAGUAAACACUAGUCAUCAGCUAGUGCUGAUUACGUCCCUGCCCUUUGUACACACCGCCCGUCGCUACUACCGAUUGAAUGGUUUAGUGA
rnacentral:rRNA from 1 species